GAUUAACGCGAAGAACCUUACCAAGGCUUGACAUAUACGAGAACGCGCUGGAGACAGCGAACUCUUUGGACACUCGUAUACAGGUGGUGCAUGGUUGUCGUCAGCUCGUGUCGUGAGAUGUUGGGUUAAGUCCCGCAACGAGCGCAACCCUCGUCCUAUGUUGCCAGCACGUCAUGGUGGGAACUCAUGGGAUACUGCCGGGGUCAACUCGGAGGAAGGUGGGGAUGAGGUCAAAUCAUCAUGCCCCUUAUGCCUUGGGCUUCACGCAUGCUACAAUGGCCGGUACAAUGGGCUGCGAUACCGCAAGGUGGAGCGAAUCCCAAAAAGCCGGUCUCAGUUCGGAUUGAGGUCUGCAACUCGACCUCAUGAAGUCGGAGUCGCUAGUAAUCGCAGAUCAGCAACGCUGCGGUGAAUACGUUCCCGGGCCUUGUACACACCGAA
rnacentral:rRNA from 1 species